UGGGAGAAGAAUCCACACACCAGGACUUUCUUACUGUAGGAAAAUCUUUUUCUUUACCUGCAUUGACGCCUAUAGACUACAUGAUAUGUCCUAGAAUUAGCUUCCCUAAUAGAAAUACACAUACAAAAAAUUAUAAUUAAUGAUCAAAAGAACAAGCAGUAAGAACUUAACUCAUUCAGUUGGAAACAUAAAUUGUGGCUAAAAGAUAAUUGCUCGACUGGAGCACAGCAGAAAAAUGUUGUUCUGAUCGAAGAACAUUGUCCACAAUAAAUAAAUAAAACAUUUCUAGAGACAGAAUUUUGUCCAUGUUGUGGCUUUGCUCAUCAUAAUUCUUCAGAAUUCACAAAAAUUUGAUAAAAAUUAGAUGAUAUAUAUAUAUCAGGAUUAAAAAAAUAAUAAUAAUAAGUAGUGAGAGAAAUGUGUUUUAUAAUGAUUGAUUCAAUUGACCAACCACUGAGGGCAGCAUAGUUUCAUUGGCUUAGUGCCCAGCACUAUUUCAUGAUCCUAGUGCACAAAUGAUGCACUGACAUAUUAUGAUUGUUGAGGGAAGUUCUAUGGUAUUCCGAAAAGCCGCAGUUUCUAAUCUCAACUGCUAUCAGCAACAUUUAACCCCUUAAAGACAACUUCUGGAAUAAAAGGGAAUCAUGACGGAAUGUUUGUCCGUCAUGUGUCCUUAAGGGGUUAACAGCUAAAAAUAAUGGAGCAGAAAAAGCUACACCAAAACAGAUAAAAGAUAUACAAAAUGCAAAAUCUAUUUUUUUUCUUCCUUUUUUUCAAAUAUGCCUCGUAAUUUUCCUUAUUUUUGUAGCAUUUGAAAGUUUUAAUCCAUUCUAUUCUGAAUAAUAAAGCUGGGAGUGGAGGUUCAGAAAUUAAAUUGUGAAAAGGGUAGUGAUAAGGAUAU